rnacentral:RNase_P_RNA from 1 species
CGAGCCGGCCGGGCGGCCGCGUCGGAGGUCUGAUGAUCUCCGCCGAGGAAGGUCCGGGCUCCACAGGACAGGGUGGUCGGUAAUGCCGACCCGGGGUGACCCGCGGGACAGUGCCACAGAGAACAGACCGCCCCGGUCUCUGACCGAGGUAAGGGUGAAACGGUGAGGUAAGAGCUCACCAGCGCCCGAGGUGACUCGGGCGGCUCGGUAAACCCCACCUGGAGCAAGGUCAAGAAGGGUGGUCGAGAGACCACCCGCGCAGGCGUUCGAGGGCUGUCCGCCCGAGCUUGCGGGUAGACCGCUGGAGGCUGCCGGCAACGGCAGCCCGAGAUGGAUGGUCGCCGGUCCACUAGAUGGAUCACAGAACCCGGCCUACAGGCCGACUCGUCCG